rnacentral:rRNA from 1 species
GCACGGGUACUUGUACCUGGUGGCGAGCGGCGGACGGGUGAGUAAUGCCUAGGAAUCUGCCUGGUAGUGGGGGAUAACGCUCGGAAACGGACGCUAAUACCGCAUACGUCCUACGGGAGAAAGCAGGGGACCUUCGGGCCUUGCGCUAUCAGAUGAGCCUAGGUCGGAUUAGCUAGUUGGUGAGGUAAUGGCUCACCAAGGCGACGAUCCGUAACUGGUCUGAGAGGAUGAUCAGUCACACUGGAACUGAGACACGGUCCAGACUCCUACGGGAGGCAGCAGUGGGGAAUAUUGGACAAUGGGCGAAAGCCUGAUCCAGCCAUGCCGCGUGUGUGAAGAAGGUCUUCGGAUUGUAAAGCACUUUAAGUUGGGAGGAAGGGCAGUUACCUAAUACGUAUCUGUUUUGACGUUACCGACAGAAUAAGCACCGGCUAACUCUGUGCCAGCAGCCGCGGUAAUACAGAGGGUGCAAGCGUUAAUCGGAAUUACUGGGCGUAAAGCGCGCGUAGGUGGUUUGUUAAGUUGGAUGUGAAAUCCCCGGGCUCAACCUGGGAACUGCAUUCAAAACUGACAAGCUAGAGUAUGGUAAAAGGGUGGUGGAAUUUUCUGUGUAGCGGUGAAAUGCGUAGAUAUAGGAAGGAACACCAGU